rnacentral:lncRNA from 1 species
GGUAACUUCUCUGGGGGGCUCGGAAGUGUUUGAUUUGGUGUUUAUUUUCGGUGUUCCGUCUAUAUACGACAUCUAUGUUAUGUAGCUACUUUUUUACCUGUCUUUGUUCGUCUUAUGCAAAGAACUGUUAUUAAUAUAUUUUGCUGUAAAAAAAAAUCAACUAUUUAAUAUUAUUGAUGGAUGGUUCACGUCAUUGGAGAGGAA